AGAGUUUGAUCCUGGCUCAGGACGAACGCUGGCGGCGUGCCUAACACAUGCAAGUCGAACGGAGUCGGCCCCGCAAGGGACUGACUUAGUGGCGAACGGGUGAGUAACGCGUGAGCAACCUGCCUUUCAGUGGGGGGACGAACAGUUGGAAACGACUGCUAAUACCGCAUAAAGCAUUUUGACCGCAUGAUCGAGAUGCCAAAGAUUUAUUGCUGAAAGAUGGGCUCGCGUCUGAUUAGAUAG
rnacentral:rRNA from 1 species